rnacentral:lncRNA from 1 species
CCAUUCACGUAAUUUACAUCUUCCAUGCCUGAAGGGUCUAUCACAGCUUGUUCAGAACGUCCAACAUUCAACUCACCAAUCUUUGUAGUCAGCUCUGCCAGCUGUGUAGCUAUCGCUGCCUGUUGAGUAACCAUUGCUGCCAUAGGAUCAGAACUGGACGCGGCUGCAACCUUCUUCAAUUGUACUCGCUCAGAUGGCC